rnacentral:rRNA from 1 species
GACGUAGGAAGCGAGCGUUGUCCGGAAUUACUGGGCGUAAAGGGCGUGUAGGCGGGGCGGCGCAUCCUGGAGUAAAUCCAACAGCUCAACUGUUGGCUCUUCUGGGAGAUGGCCGUUCUUGAGGACAGUAGAGGAAAGUGGAAUUCCCGGUGUAGCGGUGAAAUGCGUAGAUAUUGGGAGGAACACCAGUGGCGAAGGCGGCUCACUGGACCGGAACUGACGCUGAGGCGCGAAAGCGUGGGGAGCAAACGGU